GAUGAACGCUGGCGGCGUGCCUAAUACAUGCAAGUCGAGCGAAUGGAUUAAGAGCUUGCUCUUAUGAAGUUAGCGGCGGACGGGUGAGUAACACGUGGGUAACCUGCCCAUAAGACUGGGAUAACUCCGGGAAACCGGGGCUAAUACCGGAUAACAUUUUGAACCGCAUGGUUCGGAAUUGAAAGGCGGCUUCGGCUGUCACUUAUGGAUGGACCCGCGUCGCAUUAGCGAGUUGGUGAGGUAACGGCUCACCAAGGCAACGAUGCGUAGCCGACAUGGGAGGGGGAUAGGCCACACUGGGACUGAGAACGGGCGCAGACUCCUACGGGAGGCAGCAGUAGGGAAUCUUCCGCAAUGGACGAAAGUCUGACGGAGCAACGCCGCGUGAGUGAUGAAGGCUUUCGGGUCGUAAAACUCUGUUGUUAGGGAAGAACAAGUGCUAGUUGAAUAAGCUGGCACCUUGACGGUACCUAACCAGAAAGCCACGGCUAACUACGUGCCAGCAGCCGCCGUAA
rnacentral:rRNA from 1 species